GUGUUCACGUUAAUCCAGCUCCUCUGGCAAAGGAAAUCCUUAUAAAGGAUAAUGCUAGUAUAACAUUUCUAGUUAAUAUGCAAUCUAAAUUUCUUUUAUUGAGUGGCUCAGAAGUGAUUAUCCUCUCUCUUAACCGAGUGGCUGAGAAGUGUAGAGAGCGCUGCGGUAGUGACCUUGAGCUUCCUUGAGGUCAAGAGGCUUCCCAGUGGCCACACCUGUCUGUGGCCACUUUGGGGGUUAUUUGACACAGCCCCUCGGUAAUGAGGGAAGAGGACACGAAUCAGGGGAGAGGGACACUUGGCCUGGAACCCAGCGCUUUUGCUUAAUGAAAAUUACUGCUUUCUUACUUCUCUGAGAGUUCAGAGACCUAGGGUGAUUUCUGUAAAUGGGUUCAGCUGACCUGCAGCAGAAGUGAAGAUGAGAAUUAAUGGCACCCUCACUGGAAAGUUUAAAGUCUAAUUAGCUCUCGGGCUGGCUGAGUUUUGUUAAUUCAUCGAUGGGACUCUGGGAAGGCAGGCGGGCCGGCAGCCAGUGAGAGGUAAGUUAGGAGGCAGAGCACAGGGAAAAGCAACCGACCUAGGUGAUUUGUUCCACAUUUUGACCCACCUGGCACAUAAGCCAUUGCCGAUUUGUUACCUUGUUAACAGGCUCGGGGAGAAACUUGGAAUAGUGGCCCACUUAUAUUUCUGAUUAAUUUUCUAUAACUCAGGAUGCUCUAAGUAAAUGGAUUAAAGAACCAUUUGAUCUUCAAAAAGAGGUUUAUGGUGGCUUUGAUGAUUAAGUACCCAGGGGACACAAUGGAUUAUCAUGGAUAAUGGAUUAGGAGAAGUGGGAUAUUAAAAAUGAACUCUCCUCCCUGGCUAUGUACUCUUGGGGCUGAGAGGUCAACUGGGGACUGGUUUAACUCUGUCGGGCAUUUGAACUGGCUCAACCCAAGGGAACCCAUUUUUCUUACUCCCAGGAGGAAAAUCAAGAGUCUUAUUGGUAGAGCUCUAAAGUGUAACCUCCAUUACUUCAAGAUGAUUAAUUUUGGGGAAGGUACCUUCACAAGUGCAAGUUCAGAGCUGGAAAAUCAUUCUGAGAAACAUGGCACACCUUUGUUUGUUAACCUCUGCCCCGUGAGUCGCUAUGACAGAUAAGCCCGUGGAGAAGAGUGCUCUGCGGAAGCCUUCCCCAGCUGGCUCCUCCAUCUCCACCGUGCUCGUUGGUCUCUUCAUGGAGUUACAGGUCUUAGAGGGCGAGCAAUGGCUGCACCCCUGAGCUCCAGCUGUGAUGUGGGGGGAAUGGCAGGCCAGGAGAGUCGUUCACCCAUAUCACGUGACUUGUCCCGGUGGUUUCAGCUGGUCUCCUAUUAGGAAGAGGAGUGACUUUUCCUGCCCAGAGGAAACAAAUUUGAACUCUCCUUUUCUUCAUUCUAGUCUUGAAGGAGAAUGUAUCAGAAAUUUGUUUUGUUCAACCUUAAUAGACAACCGUAGUUGAAGUGGUCAUUUUGAAUUAGUGUAUGUUUACUGACACCUGAUUUUUUUUUCAGAUUUCUAAUUGUAAUUUUUAGCUUUACUACCACAUGCUGUUUUUAUUUCAAACAGUUGCUGUUCGUUCGUGGGGUUUACUGUUGGAAUAUCUGGUCCUCAGUAACUGUUUGACACUGGAAAGAUCACCUAACCCCUCUGAACCACGCUCUUGGCCCAUCAAGUGGUUCCUGGGAUAUCCAUUGAGGAUUACAACAUGGAGGAAUUUAAGCGACUCACACAGUGUCUGAAGAGUACAUGCCCUGGACAGAAUGCGAAAGAACUCUGCAUUAGCAAGGGUUGCCACAACAAAACAUCAUAGACCAUGUGGCCUGGACAGCAAACUUCUUUCUCCCAGUUUUGGGCACUGGAGGUCUCAGAUGACAGUGCUAGCUAGCAUGGUUGUGUUCUAGUGAGGGUCCCUCUUCCUGACUUGCAAGUGGCUGUCCUCUUACCGUGCCCUCACAGGGUGCACAAAUCCCACCAUGAGAACCUCCCCCCACCCCAUGACCUCAUCUAAACCUAAUUAUUUCCCAAAGUCUUAAUUGUCAAAGGAAGGUUAGGACAUAAGCAGAUGAAUUUAGGUGGAGAGCUAGGGCAGGAGUGUUCUGGGGGAAGGGAAACGAUCCAGUCCAUAAUAGAUCCUGAAGUGAGUAUUUCAGUCUGAAGGGUCGAGGAGAGAAUUAAGAUUUAAAUUCCUAAAGAAGUAGAUAGUUUAGUGUUCACUACUCUAGUGAGCUCAUUGGGAAAAUAAUCUAUAAUGGAAAAAGCUUGUUGUGAGUAUAAAAUAUUUUAAGUACAGCUGUGUAUUUUUAUGAGGAUUUUAAAUUCAGAGGUAUUUGAAUGUCAAAUGUGGUAGAACAAAAAGCCUUUGAAAUUGGACUUGGGUUUGAAUCUCUGUUCUGUUUGUCUUUGGGUGUAUGGCCUAACCUAAGCUGAGCCCCUUUUCCCAGAUUUGUUGGAAGGAACAGUGGUGCAUAUUUGGUUGUUGCGUUACGUGAGAUCAUUUAUGAAGUUCUUAGGGCAUUGUUGAGCACAAGCUAAGUGUAAUACAUAUUAGUUCUCUUCCUCUUCUCUCUACGCUAUCAAAAGGUAAAGUCCCUUUCUGGAAAAUAUGAUGUAUUUUACAAGUGGAAAAAUGGGUAAAAGAUUUGAAAGGAUGGAAGAAUUGUAGUAGGAAGAAACGUGUCUGUAAUAAAUACUGAGAAUCGCCAAGGUCAACAUCUCGAAGCAAGAAAAAUUCCUGAAAAUUGGAGGUGACAUAGCAGAUACAACACUCGAAACCUGAAGUGACCCUCAAACUGACAAGGUCAAAGAUUUUUAAAAUUACCUCUCCAUGGAUGAUCAACCAGGAUACUACCCACAGUAAAUUAAUCCACCCAAGUUAAAUAAGCCACCAGGGCUUGAAAUGGAAACAUCAUUUCAAAUCUCAACAUCCACCCCCAACCCCGCCAAUUUGAAGCAGAAAAGCAAAGUCAUUUCUUUCUGUGUCCUUUAGCUGCUGCUUCUAUGUCUUUCCUUUGUUUCUUCCAAUAGAAGAUUGCUGCUGUUUUCACACAUGUAAGUGGGGCGUCACCAGGCAAACUACAAUCAAAGGCAGAACAAAGGCAGGUAGAGAAAGCAAUGGAAGGCUGAGAUGGACGUGGGCUAAGCUGACAUUACAUUUUACUGCUAGAAGUGAAUCCAAAGACUAAACACCGCGGACCGUGUACACAUCUCUUCCCACCCUCACUGCUUUGUUAAGGGCGGUGGUCUUGGGGACGAAAUAGACAGGGCAGGGCUCAGACUUAUCAGCAAAUGCUCCACUCUGGAAUAGCAGCACCGGAUUCGCCCAGACCACACAUUUAUGGAACCAGAACUUCCUUAAGCUUGGGUGGCACAUUUUCUCUUCGUCUUUGUAGUUCUCUCCUUUAACUCCUACGCUGGUGAGCACCCUCCUUUUUGCAGUGUGUUCCAUGAAUGUUGCACUUGAGUUUGUCUAUGACAGACAAAAACAUUGCUUUCAGCUGGCAUUAUUUACAGCCAGUUUCAAAACAUUGCCAUGGCUUGUUUCCAACAACACCUGUUGGGGGAGAACCUUCGUUCCCCUGGCCAUGGGUUCCCAUGGGGAGAGACGUGAGCAUCUUCUCUGUCACACGGACGAGCUAAGUAUGCCUGGCCUGGCCUUCCUGAGGGUUUCUCUCUCAGAUCUCCCCCACUUCUGCGAGGUGGGCUGUUCUCCACGAGGUGAGUGUUGUAAGGAAGGCUGCCCGCUCCACCCCCCUCCCCCAUACCUCACUGUAGAACUUCUCUGUCUCCCUGUUCCGGUCUAGGCCGGUUAUGCUGGUAGACACAGUGGUGCGGCCCGCUCACUUGGGAGUUGCUCAGAAGAAGGCUUUAUUUAGACAACGGGAAGGUAGACUCCCCUUGAGAAUAUUCCUCCUUGACAGUCAGCUUGCCAAGGCUUUCACGCACUAACUUCCUACUGCAUGUGUUCAAAACUCUGACUCGGGCUGGUCUCUGGCAGCCUUUCCUUGUCAGUGGAGGUCUGGCUCCCGCUGAGCACACAUGCAAGAUAAGCUUUGCUGGAACAUCCUCCGAGAAACAGGCUCAGACUCAAGCAAGCGAACUGUUGGAGAUUCUCCGCCUGUGCUCCUGUGCCCUCCUCUUGCCUAAACCUUGCGCUCUGGAUCACAGUUCCCCCGCAGGCUGUGCAGGUUUGUUCUUCCGCUACGGCUUCCGACCUGUGUGCCAGGUUCUCCGGUUUGCUGGGUCCUGGCUUCCUCUUUCUUGACUUCAUCCCUUGUCCUGCUGGAGCACAUCUCCCAAGAAAAAGUACAUGGAGAGUCAGCGUCUUCUCUUUACCUCUCCGCACGAUUGGUAGCUGAACAGAAUGUGGCCACUCGGUUCCAGGGCCUCACCCUGGAUGAGUGCUCUGCUGUCGUCAUCUUGAAAUUCUCAACUUUUGAACAUGGACACCACAUGCUAUUUUCCACUGGGCCCUACGAAUUAUAUAGCUGGCCCUUGUGGCCAGUAUGCAGUGCUGCUACCGAGAUGUCUCCUUCCCUUUGGCUGUGGCUCAGUCCCCCUUUCUGAGAGCCCAUUCUAACCUCCCUUGUCUCCAGUGAACUGAAAUGUUACCAUGAUGUCCUUGGACUGGAUAUUAUUUUCUCACUUAUUAUCUUGCAUAUCUGGUGAUCUCUUUCAACCUUGAGACUUCUGUACUUGAAUAUCAAGAACAUGUCCUGUAUUAUUAUUUUGAUCACCUGUUUCUUUCUAUUUCUUAAUAUUUGGAUACUAGACUUCCUGGAUUGAUCUAAAUUUUAUUAUGUUUUAUUCCUAUUGUUUAUUGGAUGGUUUUUGUUCUGAUUUCUGGGAUUUUUCUUCAUCUUUAUUUUCUAAUGCUUCUAGUAAGCUUAUUUCAGCAAUCAUAUUUCUUUAAAAAAAAAAAAGAUUUAUUUAUUUGAAAGGCAGAGUUAUAGAAAAGCAGAGGCAGAGAGAGAGAAAAUCUUCUAUCCACUGGUUCACUCCCCAAAUGGCCACUAUGGCCAGAGCUGGGCCAGUCCAAAGCCAGGAGCCAGAGCUUCUUCCAGGUCUCCCACCAGGGGGCCAAGGACCUGGACCAUUUUCUACUGCUUUCUCAGGUCACAGCAGAGGGCUGGAUCAGAAGUGGAGCAAGUAGGACUCAAAAUGACCCCCAUAUGGGAUGCAGACACUGUUGGCAGCGUCUUUACCCACUACGCCACAGUGCUGGCCUUCAAAUGGCCAAGACUUCCUCAUAGUCUUUGAUUACUUUUUUUAUAUCUUUGUGUUCUUUUAUUAUGUAUAUAUUAUUUUCUCUUCCCUUUUUGACUAACUGAAUGAUAAACUUUUUAUUUGUUUGUUUGAGAGGCAGACAGAGGGGGAGAGAUAGAGACAAAAAGAUAAACACAGAGAGAGAAAGCUUCCUUCUGCUGAUUCAGUCUCCAAAUACACACACCAGCCAUGGUCAGGGUCAGGGUUAGGGCCAGGGCUAGGGUCAGGGCAGGGAGCCAGGAACUCAGUCCAGGUCUCCCACAUGGGUGGCAGGAACUCAAGUACUUGGGUCAUCAUUUGCUGCCUCCCAAGAUCAGCAUGAAUAAGAAACUGGAAUCAGGAACAGGAGCUAGGAACCCAGACACUCGGAUGUAGCAUGUGGGCAUUUUACCUGAUGUCUUAGCCACUAGGCUAAAUGUGUGCACCAAAUGGUAGAUUUAAUAUAUAUAUAUAUACACACACACAUACUUACUUUCAUCUACCUGAAAGGUAGAAGGAGAGAGAGAGAGAGCGAGUGAGAGAGAGAGAACCCAAAUGCCUGCAGAAGUCAAGACUGGGCCAGGAGACUGGAACUCAGCCCAGGUCUCUUACCUGGGUGGCAGGACCUGGCUACCGGGCCAUCCUCUGCCUCCCGGGAUACAUUAUCAGGAAACUGGAUCGGAAAUGGAAGAGCCAGUACUCAAGCAGGUAGCUCGAUUUCUCCAGACAGCCUGGGGCAUAUGCAUCGUAAGAGCAGGAAGGGAAAGAGGAGAAUGGUACCUCCCCGUGUGGCGUGGAGACCUACGUGGCAUGCCCGUUUUCCAAAGCCUGCCUCAUGUUUCUCCCCGUUGUGUGUGGUGUUUCCUACCUGAGACACUGACGUUUUCCCACUUACGCAUUCUGGCAUUUUCUUGGAGAAAAACUACUUAAUUUCCUGUGUUAAGGGGGGGGGGACUUGGGGUACCCUAGUGUAGUCUUUUAAGUAACCCCUGGGUCUUCAACGCCUACUUGCCUUAUGCAUGAAGGCCCUGAGUCUUUCCCAACUUUUGCAAACGUGUUUGCUACUUUUCAUCGCCUCCUGUGGGAGCAGGUGGAUUUCUGCCUCCUCUGCUUGGCCACGUGAGUUUCAUGUCUCUGCCCAGUGUCAGACCUCUCACACUUGGACAUCGAUGGUCAGCUUUCUUCCCUACACCUGCUUUCUGCCUUCUGACUUUACAGCUGGGGCCUCCAACAAGUUUAUAUAAAAAUGUGUAUUAUGAAAAAACCAUGUAUGGAUUUCAAUUUUUACAUCAAAAUAAACUGAUCUUUUUUUAACUUUUAUUUAAUAAAUAUAAAUUUCCAAAGUACAGCUCUUGGAUUACAGUGGCUUUUUCCCCCCCAUAACUUCCUCCCACCCGCAACCCUCUCAUCUCCUGCUCCCUCUCCCAUUCCAUUCACAUCAAGAUACAUUUUCAAUUAUCUUUAUAUACAAAAGAUCAAUUUAGUAUAUAUUAAGUAAAGAUUUCAACAGUUUUCACCCACACAGAAACACAAAAUGUAAAGUACUAUUUGAGUACUAGCUAUAGCAUUAAUUCACAUUGUACAACACAUUAAGGACAGAGAUCCUACAUGAGGAGUAUGUGCACAGUGACUCCUGUUGUUGACUUAACAAACUGACACUCUUGAAUAAACUGAUCUUUUAAUCAAAUUUUUCUAUGAACUUUUUUGAAGUGCCCCUGUAUAUUUUUAAUUCCUUUACUUAAAUAUUGGUGGUGUUUCAGGAGUGGACAGAGACACUUUUUUUUCUCAGCCCACUAAUUUAGAUGGAAUUCUUAAGUCACCUUCUAAAGUCUUUCUAAUCCUCUAAUUCUAUGUCAAAAUUGAAACUUGCAAGGAAGUGGUAUGGAGAGUAUCCAAAAUCAGGAAAAAAAAAAAAAAGAGAAAAACAGAAUGCCAUUGUUUGACAAGGAAUGUUCCCAGCUAUAUAAAUAGAUCUUUAAUAUCAAGGACAGAUGGCAGACUUUUCUUCUGUUGAAAGUUAUUCAGCUUUCUAAUUUUUGGAAAAUAUAGGUAAUCAAGUAUCAACCUGGGAAAAACCCAGCUCUUUCAUAUGGGAACAAAAGAGGAGAAAAUGGAUAGUGAAUUGGGAGCCCUGGGUUGGUUUGGAUGGAAGUUUCUAGCUCUGGAAUUCUGUAUAAAUUCCUUUUUAAAAUUAUUCAUGCAGGGUGUAUUAAAAAAAACCUCUUCAUGAAAAUUGUGACAAAAAUCUGAUGAGGAAGAGAAAGAGCUGAAAAUGAUGAUUAUGGACUUAUGUCUUGCAAUCUUCUUUGAAAUACAUUAGGAAAUAAGAGUGUGUAGAGGGGUGGAUAGACAGACAGGUGUGUGAUGGAGCAGCGAGUAAAAUAUUCAUGGUAUGGCCGAGGUUUGAGUGAAUAAGUGUUCGUGGUAAAAAUCGCUCGACUUCACUGCAUGCAUGCAUAGUUCAGUGUUGGGAAAAAUGAGGAUUGUGGCAAUGGAGAUGGAGAUGAAGGAAGUACUACUUCCAGAUAUGCACUGGACAGCAAAAAUGAGCCCAGGGAAGACCUGAUUAAUCAGUUUUCCUAGGAAAACAUAUCCAUGUGGACAGUCAGAUUUUACCUAAAGAGACUGAUGCUGACACUCAUUCUCCAGAUGUAGGUUUGUCUUUACCUGGCCCUUGUCCUUCAAACCUAAGAUGAAGCCAAGGGCUAACUUCAACAAAACGCUGGAGACUCUUGAACCAUGGCCUGGGCAUUCAACAAAGAGGAAGUGAUAUUGAUUCUUAUUGACUUAACAGAAGGUCAUAUUCCUGAUGUGCUGAUCCAGGCAAAUGUUUUGUAGACCUCCACUUUAUCAUCAUAUAAUAUCUAACCUUAUAGUUUCAGUUGGCAAGUUCUGAUGAUUGGAGCAUGUGCCAAUAAAAUCUAAAGAGUAUUGGCCAAAUGACCUUUAGCCUAAAGUAGUAUAGUUCUGAUUUGAUAUCAGAAUUACAGGUUCAAUCACCAUGUAGACCAGUUUGCUUCAUUUGAAGCUGUUAUCCAGUCUCUGCCAGCACAACCCUGAUCCUGGAGUUAGCUUUUCAAGUUGUGCCCUUUGUGACAAAGGAGAACUGGGAGUAAGUUUAUCUCAAACACACUUAUCACCCCUUUUGGAAAAAAAUAAGUUCACUUCUAGCCACAGGAGGUGUUUGAUAGGAUUAAUUUCCUAUGUGUUUAUGAGCGCAUCUGGGUGGUAAGCAAUUUUCCUUUUAAAGGAAGAUUAUUUUAAUAAAGUGUUUAAAAGUUGACAGUGUUAUUGAAAGAAUGCAGAAAUAUUGCCACAGGAAAGAUUCAGUACAAAUAGAAAUGUUGAAUUUAUGUGUUCAUGCAUUGUAUAUAUUCAUCUAAUCUUGUGUUGAAAGAUGCUCCUGCAAUUAUUUGGGGUAUUAUAUAUAAUAGGAUGUGACUUGGAGCUUGUGUCAUCAGCAUUGUUGUGUGCUGUAAUCACAGCCCUGCCAAGAAUCGCUGUAACUGCUGGGCAAACGGUUCCACUGAUCUGGAGCCCAUUCAUCAGAGAAUAACCUCCUGGCGUUCAUCUGCACACGCUGAUAUCCGCCACUCUGCAAGGACAACAUUUUCAUCUGUCUUGGUUUAUUUCAGACUUCAGGAGCACUGAUAAAGUUUUAAAAAUAAAGAAUUUGGGGUGUUUGCUGUGGCAGUUAAGAUGCUGCAUGGGACACCCACAUCUUACAUUGGAGUGCCUAGGUUGUAGUCCCAGCUCAGCUCCUGGUUCCAGCUCCCUGCUAAUGUGCAUCCUGGGGUGUAGCAGGCGAUGGCUCACGUAGUUGGGAGAAGUCAACCAUGUGGUAGACAGACCCAGACUGAGUACUUGGCUCCUGAUUGUGUCCUGGCCCAGCCCUGGCUGUUGCAGGCAUUUAAGGAGUGAAUCAGCAGAUGGGAGAUCUAUCUCUGUCUGUCUUUCAAAAACAUAUCAUUUGAGCAUCAAAUAUACCAUAUUUUGAAGGAUCACUGUGCCCAUUUAUCAUUUCUCAAAGGAACUACUUACAAGUUGGAAACUUAAAGCAGCUUGGUUAUUUUUAUACAAACCCAUUAUUUUAUAAAUGAAAGAAUGAUGGUCCAAGGAUAUAUGGGUCUUAUUUUGGAUUGUAGAAGUAAUGAUCAACAAAGCAAGCAUUAGGUACCAGCUGUACAGAUCACUGUUGGCAAUUUUUUCUGUUCACUCUAGCACUAGUCUUGUUAAAAACAGAAUUUCUGUCUUGGUUUGGCAGCUGUCUCAAUCAUUGUUGAUCAUUUGCCAGAGCUUUCUAGGCCUCAAAUUAGAAAUGGCAUUGUUCACACUUAUUAGAAAAAAGUUUCAAAAACUUAUAAUAAUAAGACAAAAAAAGAGCCUGAUUUAAAAUGAGCAAAAGAUUUAAACAGACACUUCACAAAAGAAAAUAUAUGAAUAACCAAUAAGCUCAGAAAAAAGUAUUCAUCAUCAUUAGUCAUCAAGGAAAUGCAAGUAACAACCAUGAUGAGCUAUCUCUACACACCCACUGAAAGGACUUACAUAAAAAGGUGAUUAAGAACACCAAGGACAUGGGACAAGUAGGACUCUCAUACCCUGCUGAUGGGAAGGUAAGUUAGUACAAUCAGUUUGAGAAAAUUCUUGGCAGUUUUGUGUAAAGUUAGUUACACAGAGCUGGCGUUGUGGUACAGCAGGUUAAGCUGCUACUUGGGAUGUCAGCAUGCCCAGCCCUGGCUGCUCCACUUCUGAUCAGCUCCCUGCUAAUGCACCUGGGAAGGCAGCAGAAGAUGGCCCAGUACUUGAGACCCUGCCACUCAUGGGGGAGAACUGGGUGGAGUUCCUGGUUCAUAGCUUCAGCCUGGUCCAGCCCCUGCCACUGGGGCCCUCUUUUUCUGUCACUCUGCUUUCAACAAUUAAAUAAAUCCUUUUUUUAAAAAAAUGUAAAUAAACAUUUGGGUAAAAUACACAUUUGGGGCUAGCAUUGUGGUGCAGCUGAUUAAGGUGCCACCUGCAAUGCUGGCAUCCCAUCUGAGUGUCAGUUUGAGUCCUGGCUACUCCAUUUCUUUUUUCCUUUUUUUCUUUUUUUCCUUGUUAUUUAUUUAUUAGAAAGGCAGAGUUACAGAGAGGCAGAGGCU